UACAGAGGUCUCAAGCGUUGUUCGGAUUCAUUGGGCGUAAAGGGUGCGUAGGUGGCGGGGCAAGUCAGGUGUGAAGUCUCGAGGCUCAACCUCGAAACUGCACUUGAUACUGCCUUGCUUGAGUACUGGAGAGGAGAUUGGAAUUUACGGUGUAGCAGUGAAAUGCGUAGAUAUCGUAAGGAAGACCAGUGGCGAAGGCGAAUCUCUGGACAGUAACUGACGCUGAGGCGCGAAAGCGAGGGGAGCAAACGGG
rnacentral:rRNA from 1 species